rnacentral:rRNA from 1 species
CCAGACUCCUACGGGAGGCAGCAGUGGGGAAUAUUGCACAAUGGGGGAAACCCUGAUGCAGCGACGCCGCGUGAGUGAAGAAGUAUUUCGGUAUGUAAAGCUCUAUCAGCAGGGAAGAUAAUGACGGUACCUGACUAAGAAGCCCCGGCUAACUACGUGCCAGCAGCCGCGGUAAUACGUAGGGGGCAAGCGUUAUCCGGAUUUACUGGGUGUAAAGGGUGCGUAGGUGGCAGGGCAAGUCAGAUGUGAAAGCCCGGGGCUCAACCCCGGUACUGCAUUUGAAACUGUCCAGCUGGAGUGCAGGAGAGGUAAGCGGAAUUCCUAGUGUAGCGGUGAAAUGCGUAGAUAUUAGGAGGAACACCAGUGGCGAAGGCGGCUUACUGGACUGUAACUGACACUGAGGCACGAAAGCGUGGGGAGCAAACAGGAUUAGAUACCCGGGUACC